UACAGAGGGGGCAAGCGUUGUUCGGAAUUACUGGGGGUAAAGCGUGCGCAGGCGGUUCGUUAAGUUCGUUGUGAAAGCCCCGGGCUCAACCUGGGAACUGCAAUGGAAACUGGCGGGCUUGAAUGCGGCAGAGGGGGGUGGAAUUCCCGGUGUAGCAGUGAAAUGCGUAGAGAUCGGGAGGAACAUCAGUUGCGAAGGCGGCUCUCUGGACCAGUACUGACGCUGAGGCACGAAAGCGUGGGGAGCAAACAGG
rnacentral:rRNA from 1 species